AGGACGAACGCUGGCGGCGUGCUUAACACAUGCAAGUCAAGGGGGCCCGCAAGGGCAACCGGCGAACGGGUGCGUAACACGUGAGCAACCUGCCGAAUGCGUGGGGGAUAGCCGGCCCAACGGCCGGGUAGUACCGCAUACGUUCCCUUGGGGGAGUCCCUGGGGGAGGAAAGCUGUGGCGUAAGCCAUGGCGCGCGUCGAGGGGCUCGCGGCUUAUCAGCUAGUUGGUGUGGGUAACGGCCCACCAAGGCGACGACGAGUAGC
rnacentral:rRNA from 1 species